GGAGUUUGGGCCGUGUCUCAGUCCCAAUGUGGCCGUACACCCUCUCAGGCCGGCUACUGAUCGUCGCCUUGGUGGGCCGUUACCUCACCAACUAGCUAAUCAGACGCGGGUCCAUCCUAUACCACCGGAGUUUUUCACACUAUACCAUGCAGUAUUGUGCGCUUAUGCGGUAUUAUCAGUCGUUUCCAACUGCUAUCCCCCAGUAUAGGGCAGGUUACCCACGCGUUACUCACCCGUCCGCCACUAAGUGAUUCAAAUGAAUUCCAUCUGAGCAAGCUCUUCAGGUCUUCGGGAGAACCACUCCGUUCGACUUGCAUGUGUUAAGCACGCCGCCAGCGUUUAUC
rnacentral:rRNA from 1 species